GACGAACGCUGGCGGCGUGCUUAACACAUGCAAGUCGAACGGAAAGGCCCUGCUUUUGUGGGGUGCUCGAGUGGCGAACGGGUGAGUAACACGUGAGUAACCUGCCCUUGACUUUGGGAUAACUUCAGGAAACUGGGGCUAAUACCGGAUAGGAGCUCCUGCUGCAUGGUGGGGGUUGGAAAGUUUCGGCGGUUGGGGAUGGACUCGCGGCUUAUCAGCUUGUUGGUGGGGUAGUGGCUUACCAAGGCUUUGACGGGUAGCCGGCCUGAGAGGGUGACCGGCAACAUGGGGACUGAGAUCCGGCCAGAACCCUUCCGGGAGGAAGAAGUGGGGAAUAUGGAACAAGGGGCGGAGGCUGGAGGAACAACCGCGGGGUGGGGGAGGCCGGCCUUCGGGUUGAAACCGCUUUCCGCUUGUGAGGAAGCGUGGGGGCGGUAAAUGGGAAAAGAGGAACGGCUAACCUCGGU
rnacentral:rRNA from 1 species